GCCGAGGCCACGCCCACCCGGAACUCGCGCUGGCCCGCAAGCGCCGCGCGCAGCCCUGGUUCCCGCCCGUGCCUCUUCCUCCACACUUUCCCGCAAGCUGAGGGAGCCGGCUCCCGCCUUGGCCAGCCCGGAAAGGGGCUCCCACGGUGCAGCGGUGGGCUGAAGGGCUCCUCAAGCACGGCCAGAGUGGGCGCCAAGGCCGAGGAGGCCCCGAGAGCGAGCGAGGGCUGCCAGUAUGCUGUCACCUCUCAUUAUUAUUUGCCGAUGGGAGUGGAGAAGGAGACUUGGUGAUAACAGGACUGAAAACCUUGUGUAGCCUACAGUCCAUAUGCUUCAGUCUAUUGUGUCUUGAUCUAAGAAGAGAUGCAGAACAGAUGCUAAGAAGACUUAGACGCAAUGAGCCCCAGAAACAUUGUCAUCAUAUAGAGCUUGACAAUGGAGAUAAUCCCAGAGAGGCGGAACCAACCCCAGAGAGGCGGAGCAAACCCCAGAGAGGCAAAGCCAAUGUGUGUGUCCUGGUAACAUUGUUUGCAACAAUCGAAGAACAUAAAAAAUUACAAAAGAAGACCAGCAAAACUAUCUAACAAUAGAAGAGCAUCAGGACAAAUUCUUCUGCCAG
rnacentral:lncRNA from 10 species